CUUGGCUUCUGGAAAAGGGGGAGUUGGAAAAUCAACAACAGCAGUAAAUAUAGCCCUCGCGCUAGCAGCAAAUGAUUCGGAAGAUUUACAUUUUUCACCAUAGAAUGAAAUGGUUUUUGUGUCGUGAAGGACAGAGGAGCAAGAAGUAAAACCAUAUGGAAAAAUUUAGCAUCUUUUUUUCAAAUAUUUGGCUCCUGUAAUUAAACUACUUGUCAACAGGAUAAUAUUUGACUGCUGUGUUAAUAGAUGACUUCACAAUGUAUAUACAUUUCUUUCUGACAAAAGAAGUUGGUUUACUUGAUGCAGACAUUUAUGGACCUUCAAUUCCAAAGAUGAUGAACUUAAAAGGAAACCCUGAAUUAACACCAAAAAAUCUAAUGAGGCCCCUUAAGAACUAUGGAAUCGCAUGCAUGUCUAUGGGUUUCUUGAUAGAAGAGACUGCCCCGGUUGUGUGGAGAGGGCUCAUGGUAAUGUCAGCUGUUGAGAAAUUGUUGAGACAGGUUGACUGGGGUCAACUGGACUAUUUAGUAAUUGACAUGCCACCUGGGACUGGAGAUGUACAGCUGUCAGUCUCACAGAAUAUUCCGAUUGCAGGAGCUGUGAUCAUCUCCACUCCACAAGAUGUGGCUUUACUGGAUGCACGCAAAGGAGCUGAAAUGUUUAGAAAAGUUCAUGUACCUGUUUUAGGACUGGUGCAAAAUAUGAGUGUUUUCCAGUGUCCCAAAUGUAAGCAUGAGACACAUAUUUUUGGAGCUGAUGGUGUAAAAGAUCUAGCGAAAACCCUUGGAUUGGAUAUUUUAGGAGACAUUCCACUGCAUGUUAAUAUACGGGAGACUUGUGAUUCGGGACAGCCUGUUGUGGUCUCGCAGCCUCAAAGUGAUGCUUCCUGUGCACAGUGCAUCUCCAUCUUCAGGGUGAGGGAAGAUUAUAACCAGUAGUACCUGUGGGACUAAAGAGUCUCCUUCCUUCUCAACACUUCUGCUCCAGAAGAAUAUUGAUUCUGUUUGCUGUCUAAGACAGAUGGUUCAGCUAAAGCCUAUCUAAAGAUAGCUAUGGAAAUAGUAAG